UGGAUCUUUGCAUCAUAACCC
rnacentral:miRNA from 1 species